CCUUGCGUCUUGGUCACUGCCUUUGAGCGAGCCGAUGUGCAGAUGCGAACGCCGAGGUUUAGAGGAUGGAACCCUUUUUCCAGGUCUGGGACUCAAGGCUCCAGGCUCCUGAUGAGCUAUCCAAGGGAGAGUUGCGUGGAUCCGUGACCUGUUCCUACACAAAGCACCUGUGGGCACCACUGCAAGAUACUGAAGUCAUCUGGGAAGGCCCUCGGUUCUGUUCCCAGGUCCAUCUGAAUACACUGGGCAGACCUAUGAUCCUGGCUGGUGGAAAGGAGGGUGAGCAGAUCAUGACAUGACAGGACCCUGUUAGGGAAUCCUACCUAUCUCACGAAAUAAGUAAAUAAACUUUUUAAAAAUCACAA